CGAAGGGGCUAGCGUUGUCCGGAAUCACUGGGCGUAAAGGGCGCGUAGGCGGCUUUGUAAGUCGGGGGUGAAAGCCUGUGGCUCAACCACAGAAUUGCCUUCGAUACUGCAUGGCUUGAGACCGGAAGAGGUUAGUGGAACUGCGAGUGUAGAGGUGAAAUUCGUAGAUAUUCGCAAGAACACCAGUGGCGAAGGCGGCUGACUGGUCCGGAUCUGACGCUGAGGCGCGAAAGCGUGGGGGAGCAAACAGGAUU
rnacentral:rRNA from 1 species